GACGAACGCUGGCGGCGUGCUUAACACAUGCAAGUCGAGCGGAGAGGCGAACGGGUGAGUAACGCGUGAGUAAUUGCCCCCCUCUCUGGGAUAACAGUUGGACAAGGCUGCUAAUAACGGCUAGUGGGGGCUGACUAGAGGCAUAUCCGCUUGUUGGUGGGGUAGUGGCCUACCACGGCGACGACUGGUAGCCGGCCUGAGAGGGCGACCGGCCACAUUGGGCUGAGGAACGGCGCAUACUGCUACGGGGGGCAGAAGUGGAGAAUAUUGCACAAUGGGGGAAACCGUGAUGCAGCAACGCCGCGUGCGGGAUGACGGCCUUCGGGUUGUAAACCGCUUUCAGCCAUGACGUGGUAGUGGCAGAAGAAGCACCGGCUAACUACGUGCCAGCCGCCGCGGUAAUAC
rnacentral:rRNA from 1 species